rnacentral:rRNA from 1 species
GAUGAACGCUGGCGGCGUGCCUAAUACAUGCAAGUCGAGCGAAUGGAUUAAGAGCUUGCUCUUAUGAAGUUAGCGGCGGACGGGUGAGUAACGCGUGGGUAACCUGCCCAUAAGACUGGGAUAACUCCGGGAAACCGGGGCUAAUACCGGAUAACAUUUUGAACCGCAUGGUUCGAAAUUGAAAGGCGGCUUCGGCUGUCACUUAUGGAUGGACCCGCGUCGCAUUAGCUAGUUGGUGAGGUAACGGCUCACCAAGGCAACGAUGCGUAGCCGACCUGAGAGGGGGAUCGGCCACACUGGGACUGAGACACGGCCCAGACGCCUACGGGAGGCAGCAGUAGGGAAUCUUCCGCAAUGGACGAAAGUCUGACGGAGCAACGCCGCGUGAGUGAUGAAGGCUUUCGGGUCGUAAAACUCUGUUGUUAGGGAAGAACAAGUGCUAGUUGAAUAAGCUGGCACCUUGACGGUACCUAACCAGAAAGCCACGGCUAACUACGUGCCAGCCGCCGCGGUAA